rnacentral:rRNA from 1 species
UACAGAGGUCUCAAGCGUUGUUCGGAUUCAUUGGGCGUAAAGGGUGCGUAGGCGGCGCGGUAAGUCGGGUGUGAAAUCUCGGGGCUUAACUCCGAAACUGCAUUCGAUACUGCCGUGCUUGAGGACUGGAGAGGAGACUGGAAUUUACGGUGUAGCGGUGAAAUGCGUAGAUAUCGGGAGGAACACCUGUGGCGAAAGCGGCGCACUGGACCACAACUGACGCUGACGCGCGAAAGCUAGGGGAGCGAACGGG